UUCAAGCAAAUCUUGCCAAAUAUUUCUAUCCAGAAGAUAUCUGCAUGAGACAAUUAAUUCUUCCCGAAAGAAAAUCCACAAUGCUUAUUACUGCACAUUAAUUACAUAUUUUUAAUCAUUCGAAGUGAUAACAAAUAUAGCUAAAACAGAUAUUAUGUCACUUACAACCCUCAAGGCAUCAACGAAUAUUAUUCUUGCGAGCAAGUUCUCGUGCCAUCUCCCUCAGUUCUUCUGGCGAUGGAGGUGUCAGUGCCUCUUGGGGAUACACCACAUAAGAACGCUUCAAAAUAGAAACACAUUGUUUAGAUGCCUCGCAUAAUAAAGCGAGCAUCAUCAGCAUUAGUUUAAGCACUGAAUAUUUCAGCAUUGGAUAUUGGCUGACAUCCUUUCUUAAGUGUAGUUGGACUUUCUCCUUUCUCUCUCUCUUUUAUUGUUCUUUUGCGAGGAUAUCUAAUUCCUCAAUUAUUGUUUUGUUUCUCCCUCUUAAUAAUUUUUUUCUUCUCUAAAGAAUGUAAUAUGAUUCUAAUUAUGCUAAAUAUCGCUAUUUUAAACAAAAUUGUCAUAUUGCAUUCUCAUGUUCCCUCCUCUCUAUAUCAAUGUUAUUAGUUACAAUUGAAGAUAUAUGGAAUUGCACCAAGGAGUACAACCCUUUCCCUACAUAAUCAAUGGUGCGGACUUCAGCGGUACCCUGUUUCCAAGCCAAGACUAAUGAUUCAUCAUUCGAUCAUAAAAGUUGUCCUCCAAGUAAAGGUAUCCUAAGGAGAACUUUUCUAUGUUAGAAGUAUUUUAACAUCAAAUCCUCAUCAACAGCAAUAAAUUGAUAAAGGAAAUUAUUUUCUACAAAUGUAUUGAUCAAUUAUUUUUGGAAAAAGGACAAACAAAAUCAAUACAUUUCAUAACAACUGGAGGACUCAGAAAAUAUUCAACCAAUGGGGGAGUCAAAAAAUAUAGGCCCAUUGUCAAAGUUGGAAAAUCAAGACUAGAUUAUCAAUACCUCAGACAACCACAGGGUAUCUUCUUCCCAUACAUGGAAUAUCAUCCACUCAAUCGGGCUGAAGAGCACCGUGUGAUUGGCAGAAACCGAAGCAAAAUAAGGUAAAUCUCGUCCUUUACGUCCUUUUCAUCUACUUUUCCUUCAAACCUUUUUCCUAUUUCACACUAACCGGUUUGAAGGUGUGAAACAUGUCAUCUAAACUUCAAAGCAAGCAAAGAGAGUCGCGGGGAACCGAGAAAACCAUCCUCGAAUUUGAACCAAGGCCGAAUCGCACCACGCCGGCACAGGUACGCUUUUUAUGUGAUUCUGUUUGGUUGUUAGGGCGACGGAGGGCGAGCAGUCGAUGUCACGUUGGCCACGUGAGCUCAACCUAGUCGCUCGCCCACUCAGAAACUGAGUCGUCCUCGGGUAUGGGAACCCGAUACUCUCGGGUUUGACCCGCUCGCCUACUCAAAAAUUGAGGAGUCUUCCUCGGGUACGGGACCCUAUACUCCCGGGUUUGGAAACAGGGACCGUUUGGGGAGCAAUUGCUCACCUUAUGCGGUGAGUCGGGCAUCCCGUCGAGUGUCAUUAGAAACCAUGCUUUUGGUCGAAUUUAACCUCUAUUUAAUAUUUAAAUUGCAUUAAUUAAUUUGUGUUGUAUGUGCGUACAGUAAACUAGGACGUUCAAACAGAUUUGGGAAGGUCAUUGCGCAAAAGAGUUGUAAGUAUUUCCAAUUCUGAAUCUAAAUUAGGAAGUUGAAUUUAUGCAUGUAUAUUAUAAAUUUUGUGUGUAUUUUAAACACAGAACAGAUACUAAUCCGAUUUCUUGAUGAAAAACAGAAACCAUACCUAUGACGAAUGAACCCUAACCUGUUUGGAAUUUAUGAGGAGAUGGAAACCAGAAAAUCAAAGACUGAGGAAUAUUUGAACUGAUGAUAAUAAAUAAAAUUAAAUUUAAAAGAAAUCAACAAUAAAGCAGAAGGUUGAGAAAAAGAAAAUAAAAUAAAAGAAAAAUAAUUAUCGUUAUGAAACAAUUAGUUUAAGUAAAAUUUAAGAGGAAAAUAGAACAGAGAGAAGUAAAUAAGAAUUUGAAAAUGAGAGGAUUUGAAUGAAUAAGGUAUAAACCCUAAAUAC
rnacentral:lncRNA from 1 species